rnacentral:rRNA from 1 species
AGAGUUUGAUCAUGGCUCAGGACGAACGCUUGCGGCGUGCCUAAGAAAUGCAAGUCGAACGGACAGGGACUUCGGUUUCUGUCAGUGGCGAACGGUCGCGUAACACGUAGGCAACCUGCCUCAAAGUGGGGGACAACAUUCCGAAAGGGGUGCUAAUACCGCAUGUGGCCAUCUUCUCGCAUGAGAGGAUGUCUAAAGGGACUUCGGUUUCGCUUUGAGAUGGGCUUGCGGCCUAUCAGCUUGUUGGUGGGGUAACGGCCUACCAAGGCGUUGACGGGUAGCUGGUCUGAGAGGAUGUCCAGCCGGAUUGGGACUGAGAUACGGCCCAGACUCCUACGGGGGGCAGCAAUUAGGAAUCUUGCGCAAUGGGCGAAAGCCUGACGCAGCGACGCCGCGUGGAGGAUGACGGGUUUCGGCCUGUAAACUCCUUUUAACGGGGAAGAAACAAAUGACGGUACCCGUUGAAUAAGCCCCGGCUAACUACGUGCCAGCAGCCGCGGUAAUACGUAGGGGGCGAGCGUUGUCCGAAGUUACUGGGCGUAAAGCGCGCGUAGGCGGCUUUUUAAGUUUGGUGUGAAAGGUUCAGGGCUCAACCCGAACAGUGCACUGAAUACUGGGAAGCUUGAGUGGGGGAGAGGAAGGUGGAAUUCCUGGUGUAGCGGUGAAAUGCGUAGAUAUCAGGAGGAACACCGGUGGCGAAGGCGGCCUUCUGGCCUCUUACUGACGCUGAGGCGCGAAAGCGUGGGGAGCGAACGGGAUUAGAUACCCCAGUAGUCC